UCACACGGAGGUUGUGCUGGUUAGCGGCAGAGGUGGAGACGAUGUACACACGGGGUGUAAACGCGGAAGGUUUGAAUUAAACUAAUACAACUAAUACAACUGUACAGUGAAUGUAAAGUGGACAAUGGCAGAGGAAUCAGAUGGUUAUAUACGGGAUCAUGAGGAUUUGGAUGAAAAUGACGAAAUGUUCUGGGAGGAAAUUAGGAAAAAACAAUAUAUCUCAGUGUUUCAUGGUUGAUUCCCUCAUUUUGGACCAUGCAAGGAAAGGAGCAGGAUCCGUCCUUAUACCCUUAUUGGACAGAGAAACAGACGUUUUACGAGCUCUUGCAACCAUCUUUAAGAAUGGGAAAGAACACAAGAAACUGCAUUUGAAUAUUUAAGUGUGUUUGGGCCUUUACUAUUUAGCCAUAUGUACUUUCAAUACAUUCUUAAUCAAUUAUUUAUUACAAAAUAUUGAAUAUUUUAAUACGUUUUUGUACCUUUACUGUUAAACUGUUUGUAAUCUUGUUUUAAUUUAUUACU